rnacentral:lncRNA from 1 species
GAGCUAUUGGAACUAGGACUCUUCCCACACUUAUACCGGUCAAGUUCACAUAGUACAAAGACGGUCGGUGUGGGUUCUUAAGAAGGGGGGUAAAUUUAAUGUUCUUGGGUUGGCCCAAGGGACCAAGUUUGAGUGAUCCGGAGAAAUAAUAGGAUUUGAAACUUGGUAAACAAUAUGAGAAUACACCUGAGUAGAGUGAUGCGGAUUGUGAGAGCAGUGACAUGGAGCCCCGGCCCAAGCCCAAUAACCCUUGAGGCGGAAUUGAGCUCCCGGAUAUGGCAUUGAUGCACCCAAAAGAAUAAUUCGGUAUAACAUCCGUGCCUAGUCUAAGAACAUCACGAGACAACGUAGCAUAGAAUGAUGAGGCGCCACCAUAAGAUUGGUUAAAAAAGCAAGCACCCGGUGCACCAGCGGGGCAAGAUUGUCGCCGGACUUGUGUACAUUGGGGUGCUGAACAUUCCGUGGACCCAUAAGUCGACGACGUGUUCGGGGCAAACAUGGUAGAGGUGCACCCAGUGCAGCCACUG